UUCUACAUGAUAGAGGUCUCUCUCUCUCUCUCUCUCUCUCUCUCUCUCUCUCUGUGUGUGUGUGUGUGUGUGAGAGAGAGAGAGAGAGAGAGGGAGGAAGGGUGUCUUGUCUCUGUUCU